AUGAACUCAAGUUCCGAAGUAAUUACACAUAUAGAAAUCCAAAAAUAAAUCGAUACGAUCCACGUCAUAAUCCAUAUUGGAUUCCCAACUUUAUUAAAGAAAAAAGGAGCAAUCGAAGAAUUAGAGAAAGAUCUACAAAAGGAAAUUAACUCUGUAAACCAGAGAUUUAAUAGAAUGUAA
rnacentral:rRNA from 1 species